rnacentral:rRNA from 1 species
UACGAAGGGGGCUAGCGUUGCUCGGAAUCACUGGGCGUAAAGGGCGCGUAGGCGGACUCUUAAGUCGGGGGUGAAAGCCCAGGGCUCAACCCUGGAAUUGCCUUCGAUACUGAGAGUCUUGAGUUCGGAAGAGGUUGGUGGAACUGCGAGUGUAGAGGUGAAAUUCGUAGAUAUCGCAAGAACACCAGUGGCGAAGGCGGCCAACUGGUCCGAUACUG